rnacentral:rRNA from 1 species
UGAAUACGAGACGCUAAGGCGUCGAAGUAGUGUAUGUCAUACUUCCAAGAAAAGCUUGCACUGUCAUAGAUAAAAAACGCCUGUACCAUAACCGACACAGGUGGGUAGGUAGAGUAUACUAAGGGGCGCGAGAUAACUCUCUCUAAGGAACUCGGCAAAAUAACUCCGUAACUUCGGGAGAAGGAGUGCCUUAUUCGUAAGGUUGCAAUAACAAGAUCCAAGCAACUGUUUAUCAAAAACACAGGUCUCCGCUAAGUCGUAAGACGAUGUAUGGGGGCUGACGCCUGCCCAGUGCCAGAAGGUUAAAGAAGUUGGUUAGCAAUUGCGAAGCUGAUAACUGAAGCCCUGGUGAACGGCGGCCGUAACAAUAACGGUCCUAAGGUAGCGAAAUUCCUUGUCGGGUAAGUUCCGACCCGCACGAAAGGCGUAAUGAUUUGGAUACUGUCUCGGAGAGGGGCUCGGUGAAAUAGACUUGUCUGUGAAGAUGCGGACUACCUGCACCAGGACAGAAAGACCCUAUGAAGCUUUACUGUAACUUGAAAUUGAAAUUGGACUUUAUUCGCGCAGUAUAGGUGGGAGGCGUUGAUUAUAAUCUUGUGGGAUUAUUGGAGCCAUCAGUGAGAUACCACUCUUGUAAUGUUAGAUUUCUAACUUCGAAUCAUUAUCUGGUCAAAGAACAGUUUCAGGCGGGCAGUUUGACUGGGGCGGUCGCCUCCUAAACGGUAACGGAGGCGUACAAAGGUUUCCUCUGAACGGUUAGAAAUCGUAUCUAGAGUGUAAAGGCAUAAGGAAGCUUGACUGUGAGACCUACAAGUCGAGCAGGGACGAAAGUCGGUCUUAGUGAUCUGACGGUACUGAGUGGAAAGGCCGUCACUCAACGGAUAAAAGUUACUCUAGGAUAACAGGCUGAUCUCCCCCAAGAGUUCACAUCGACGGGGAGGUUUGGCACCUCGAUGUCGGCUCAUCGCAUCCUGGGGCGGUAGUACGUCCCAAGGGUUGGGCUGUUCGCCCAUGAAAGCGGUACGCGAGCUGGGUUCAGAACGUCGUGAGACAGUUCGGUCCAUAUCCGGUGUAGGCGUUAGAAUAUUGAGAGGAGCCUUCUUUAGUACGAGAGGACCGAGAAGGACAUACCUCUGGUGUACCAGUUAUCGUGCCAACGGUAAACGCUGGGUAGCUAUGUAUGGAGUGGAUAACCGCUGAAAGCAUCUAAGUGGGAAGCCCACCUCAAGAUAAGUAUUCUCAUC